AGAGGGAGAGGGAGUACGAUCCUCCGAGACGCGUAUACGUGUGCGUCGUCGUCGUCGCGUGCGAAGCCGAAAGAGUAGGUAGCACACUUCCGAAGUUGUGCGCGCGUACAACACCGUGAGAGUUCAAUUCCUCUCCGCGCAUACGUGUUAUCCUGAUACUACCUUUCGUCCUCGUUCGACCGAUAACGCGCGUAUGUAACGAUAGGGACGUACGAUAGUAAAAUUUUCAGUUAGGACGAGUGCACGGUAAAAAGAAGGGACGACAGGGCGACUCAUCGACAAAAAUUUGGAAACUUGUAUAUGCAAGUAACAGCCAGCGCAACAGUAACGACAAUAACGACGGGGAAGACGAAGGCGACGGAGACGGCGACAGCGACAGCGACGGUGGCGGCGGCGGCGGCGACGACGACGACGUCAAACGGACAACAACGACAACACAACGUGAAAUCGGUGUGUGCGCGCGACGCCUUCUCUGUAGAUUGUGUACGUGUACCUGUGCUCUUGCGCGUGCUCUUUUAGUGGCGCGUGCACGUGUAUGUGCGUCGUCGUUGACUGAUAGGUACGCGUUAGGUGAGGUGAGGUGUGGAGUGGUGUGGUGUGGUGAGGUGCGGUGAGGUGCGGUGCGGUAAGGUGAGGUGAGGUGAGGUGUGCUGAGGUGAGAGGCAUAUCGAAGGGAAAAGAGCGAAGAGAGUGAAUUGACCGAACGCGCAACGACGACGACGACGACGACGACGACUUUGCCAUCGUCGCCGCCGUGUGCCGAGAAGAGACAGAAAGAGAGAGAGAGAAAGAGAAAGAAAAGAGAGAGAGAGAGAGAGAGACGCGCCGCGAUUUCCAUUGGAGAACAAUAAGCCUUGAAAAGAGUACGAGCGAGGGAAAGAAAGCGUGCGAGUGAGAAAGAAAGAAAAAAAUAGAGAUAGAGAUAGAAAACUAUCGUGAAGUGUGCCCUAGAGGUGAGACACGAGAGAGCGCGGCCGAGUUCGACGAGUAACGGAACAACGACGCGGGCUCUAAUAUAACAGAGAAAAAUUGACGAUACGACUGCGAAAAAAAAGAAAAAAAGGAAAAAAAAAAAAAAAAAAGAAAGAAAAGGAAAGGAAAAGAAAUAAAUGAAAGCGGGGGAAGCUAUAAAAGAAAUAAAGAAAUAAAUAAAAAAAAUAAAUAAGAAAAAAGAAAAAAAAAAGAAAGAAAGAAAGAAAGGAAAAAGAAAAAGGAACAAUAAUACGACGAUGCGCGUACGCGACGCGGCUCUUCUUCCGUGAUUCGUUGUCAUGUCAUGUGAGGCGAAGCGUCUGCGCCUCGUUCGUUUAGUUGUACAGUGACGCCAACGAGAAAGAGGAAUAAGACACGAAGAGAGAAGGAAAAUUCUCUGAAAAGUCUAGCGAUCGCUUUACUACAUCCUCUUCCGCUUUUCGUACGCGCAACUUUUUCUUCCUUUAUUUCCUCUUUCGAAUCCCUACCCCCUCUUAUCCUUUUCUCUUUCUCUUCUUAUUCCCUUUCCCCCACCCCGUCCUCGUUUUCACAGAGAUACGAAGGUAGCCAAGAGCGCGUCCGUUUCCUCCUCCUCCUCCUCCUCCUCUUCCUCCUCCUCCUCUUCUUCCUCCUACUCCUACUCUUUCCCUUUCCCCUCUAACCCCUCCAUCCACCCCUCUCUCACUCUAUCCUUCCCUCUCUCCUUCCCUCUCUCCUUCCCUCUCUCUUUCUCUUUAGCUCUCUCACUCUCUCCGUUGCAAUUCUCCUCCUUCGAACGAUAGCCGCAGUCAGACAUUGCUCACUUCUCGACCUGACGACUGUUCUGUGUUUACGCUGGAAGGAUUGACAAAUCACAACGAUGUACGCGAAGGGAAAGGGGUCCAGCGUACCAUCGGAUGCUCAGGCCAGAGAAAAAUUAGCUUUGUAUGUAUACGAAUACCUUCUUCAUGUCGGCGCACAAAAAGCUGCACAAACAUUCCUAUCGGAGAUUCGAUGGGAGAAAAAUAUAACGCUUGGAGAACCACCUGGGUUUUUACAUUCAUGGUGGUGUGUGUUUUGGGAUCUGUAUUGCGCAGCACCAGAACGACGAGAUUCAUGUGAACACAGUAGCGAGGCCAAAGCUUUUCAUGAUUAUGGUUUUGUGAACAGUGGUUAUGGCGUUAAUGGAAUUGCACAUAAUGCUGGCCCAGCUCCAUCUCCAAUUGGACAGAUGCCACCUAAUGAUGGUAUGCCUGGUGGUCCAAUGCCUCCAGCAUUCUUUCCAAACAACUCGACAAUGCGACCAUCUCCGCCCACACACCCCUCAUCACAGCCAUCCCCCCAGCACCCCCAGCCACCCCCGCCCCCACACUCGCAGAUGAUGUCCACUCAGUUUAUGGGCCCAAGGUAUCCUGCUGGCCCACGACCAGGAGUACGUAUGCCACAAAUGGGAAAUGAUUUCAAUGGGCCACCUGGACAGCCAAUGAUGCCAAAUAGCAUGGAUCCUACUAGGCAAGGCGAAGCUGGAGAAUUUGUAGGGUGGCAAGGCCCUCCAGGAAUGAAUCCUAUGAAUCCACGAAUGAAUCCUCCACGAGGUCCAGGUAUGGGUCCAAUGGGACCUGGAAGUUAUGGUCCCGGAAUGCGAGGGCCACCUCCUAACAGUAGUUUAGGUCCUGGUGGUCCAGGAGGUCCUGGUAUGCCCCCUAUGAGUAUGGCUGGACCAGCUGGAAGACAACAGUGGCAACCGAAUACGUCAACGCCGAUGAAUUACUCGUCAUCAUCGCCGGGUAACUACGGAGGUCCACCAGGUUCGACUGGUCCUCCGGGCCCAGGCACGCCAAUUAUGCCCAGUCCUCAGGACAGCAGUAAUAGCGGCGGAGAAAAUAUGUAUACCAUGAUGAAACCCGUACCUGGUGGAAACAUGCCUGGAGAUUUUCCAAUGACCGGAGGUCCAGAAGGUGGUCCGAUGGGACCUAUGGGUCCUAACACAAUGGGACCGGUUUUAAAUGGCGAUGGUCUUGAUGGAAUGAAGAAUAGUCCAGCUAAUGGUGGACCAGGAACACCACGAGAAGACAGCGGAAGUGGAAUGGGUGACUAUAAUCUGAGUGGUUUUGGAGGACCUGGAGAGAAUUUAAUGAUGGGAUUAAAAGGAGAUCGCUAAUAUAUUCUCGACGGUAAGUAUAAGCAAUUUUUUUUCAUCGAUUUUUCUUUUUUCUUUUAAUUUUUUUUCUUUCUUUCUUUCUUUCUUUCUUUCUUUUUUUUUUUUUUUUUUUUCAUGCGAUAUUACAAUAGCCUUAAGUAAGUACUGUAUAAAAGUGAAUAUUUGGUGCAUAAUUAUUAACAAAGAUUAUUAAAUUAAAAAAUCCAUUUAUUUUGUUCAUUUAAUAAAUGUUAUAAAUUGUUAAUAAAAAUAAUUAUAUUUCUUAUCAGGAAUAAAUGGAUUAUCGAUUUUUUUUGUUUAUCUUUAUAAAAAUCUCCAAUGCUGAUGUAAUACAUAUUUGCAACGUAUCUUCUUUAACCCAUAAGGAAAGCAUACAAAUAAAAGUUUAUUCAUUGUACUUCUAUUUGAAAAAUUUAUUAAUCAAAAGAAAAAAAAAAAAAAAAAAAAAAAAAGAAAAAAAAAUUCUCGUCAAGACGACAAAUUCUGUCAUGAAUUUUAGUAGGAUAAGAACAUCAUAGUUAUAAACACGAGUAGAUUAUUUUUAUCUUUCGAAUCGUAUGGCAAUCGAUUGAAAAUAAAGGAUGAGAUGACGAAGAGAGAAUGGUGAUGGUAGUGGUAGAGGCAAUGAAAAGAAAAGUAUAUAUGACUUGAUUCGAAAGACAAGUUCAAAAGAGAAAAAGAGAGAAAAAAGAGAGGGGUGGGAGAAUGCAGAGAAGUGAAGCGACGGCCAUGAGGUCAGAGGAAAGAGGGACGAGCGUGCUUAUCGUGCAUCGUCUCGAUCCACCUCGAAAGACCUCCUCCUCACCAAACUCUAACAGCGAUGCGAUUCUUGCUAGAGGUACCAACACCUCAGUUCUUUUCUCUCUUUCUCUUUCUCUCUCUCUCUCCCUUUCUCUCUUUCUCUCUCUCUCUCUCUCUCUCUCUCUCUCUCUCUCUCUCUCUCAUCUGAUACUCCUCAUCUCUCUGCAUCCCUCAGCCUAUAAGUACCGGAGGAGCAGGCAAACGUCAGCGAAAAAAAGUACGACGACGCGUGUCUCUGUAUGUGUACACGAUCACACUCUCUCUCUCUCUCUGUCUUUAUCUCUGUCUCUUUCUCUCUUACAAUCUUUCUUUUUCUUUCUCUCUUGUGUUCGUUGGAUUCUGUCAGUCGGCGAUUUUGCCAAUCCAAUUUGGCCGAUGACACAAAGGAGGAAAUCGAUCAUCCUUUGACGAAAGGUCGAAUCCUAGCGUGUCUCUUCUUUUCUCUUCUUUGAGAGAAAGAGAAAAAGAGGAUUUUGAAGAUUUAAAAAAAAAAGGAAAGAGAGAGAGAGAGAGAGAACAAAAUAGCGCAUGUUCGUAAAUCCUUCCUUGUAAAUUCCCAAUGAAUCCUAUGAAUAGGAACAAAAUUCUUUUGAAAACUCAUAUUUUUCCAGAAAAUAACCUAUCGACUUAUAUAUCAGACGUGACCGAGUCACAUGCAUCACCUGAACGACCUGAAUGAAAUCCCACAUCGUCAUCUCGAUCAUCUCGUGUUUGGAAAAUAUGCUAAGAAAUCGUUUAAUUUGUCGUAUCAUUUUCUUUUUAAAUUAUCAUUAAUCUUUUGGAUAAUCGAAUUUAUUAUUUAACUCGAAAAUAUCCUUUCACCCCAAUGCGAUCCUAUCUGUUCGUUUCCUAGUUUCUGCCUUUUCAGAGUGACGUCAUCAAGUCUUUGACGUAAAUGCCACCUAGUCUUGUAAGCGAUUGCUUGAAGAGAGCCACCCCAGCACACUUCGCGCUGGUGGUUGUUAGUCGAGGUAAGUUCGAUUUUUUCAAUCUUCCUAUCUUGUUCUACGUGGAAUCUGAGAAGAGGAGAGAGAGAGAGAGAGAGAGAGAGAGAGAGAGAGAGAGAGAGAGAGAGAGAAUGGACGAGGAGGGGUGGACGAGAGAAAGUAAAAAAAGAGAGAAACGAAGAUGGAUAUUUCGAUUCGAUAACGCGAUAAUCUAACGAAGAUAAUCUUUAUCAAAUCAAGAGGGGAUAUUUAAUGCAGCACAAUGUCCGAAGGAUUUUUCAUAAAAUUUCGAUGAAAAUUCAUAUUCGCAUUAAUUUUUAAUUUAUUCUUAUAAUCGUAUCGAUUUUGUUUAAUAUGAUAUUAGGAUCAUUAUUAAAUAUUUCAUAUAACUAUGAUAUGUAAUAAUAUAUAUUAACAAAGUUAUUAGUUAUAAAGAAUGGAAUUCUUGUAAUCUUACAAUGUUAUAAAUAAUGCUAUUAAAAAGAGAAAGACAGAGGGGAGAGAGAGAGAGAGAGAGAGAGAGAUUAAAAAAUGUUUUAUUUAAGGAUGUUACGCAUUUUUAAUUUUGUGUAACAUUUGUGAUUUUAAAUUUUGUAAAUGUUAUUUUUGCUUACAACAUUAUCUUUUUUUUUCUUUUUGCGAUAUUUUUAUAAAAAGUUGUUACUUAAAAUUUAUUUCAUUGUUCGAGCGAAAAGUAAAUGAUAGUAUUAAGUAAAACAAAAUGAAUUAAUGAAAAUUAUUAACGAAUAAUUUCGUAGAUUCCCUAGACAUUCCCUAGACAUUUGGAAUUAUCAUACAUACGAGUGUAUAUAUAUAAAAACUUGGCAGCAUUCGUAAUGUCUUGACACGCAAACGUUCUAUCGAAGACGAGUGGAAAAUUGGAAUAAAAUUCGGCAAUGAUUGCUAAAAAGAUGGCCAAAUUUUUUAAGGGGAAUCCAUCACCUAAUUCAUUGCUCGUUGCCAGAACGAAAUGUGGCGAGGAACAGAUUCUUGAAGGAGCAGCUCGAGUACGCUUCCGGCGUUUCGUGAUUCCCCCAGUGGUCUUGCAGGCCCAAUGACCUGAUUGUCGUGCUCAAAAGAAGAAGCAGAAGAAGAAGGUGCUCUCGAUGGUUCGUUACUACGAAAUCGAUGUAUGACGAUGACGUUCGCUACGCUUCCAGAAAUAAUAAACCGCUGAACGAUUUAAAACAUAUCACCCCUGAGAAACACGAUACCUUUACCUCGCUCUAGUGAAGAGGGAUGCCAUUGGCGCAGUGCGAAAAAAAUUUCCAAGAAAUAAAGGAAUUUUCUUUCUUAAGUUGAUACUUAAGGGAUUUAAGAAAAGAAAGAAAGAAAGAAAAUAAAAGGAAGAAAGAAGAAAAGAAAAAACUCCCGGAAAUUAUGUGUGAAGCGUGUUAGGAAUUUAUAAAGAAAAAAAUGUGUGCAUAUAUAAUCACAAAUUUAGUCUCAUGAACGAUUAAACGUGUGAAAUGAGAUUUUAGAUUUUUUUUUUCUUUUCUUUUCUUUUUUUUCUUUUUUUUUUUUUUUUUUUUUUUUUUUUUACAUUCAAAAACUCGAGAAAAAUAUGAUUAUAUAAUAUUAUAAUUUAAUACCAUAGACGUUAAAAUGUGUAAUGGACAUUUACAAGAUUUACGAUUAUUUUUCUAUAAGUUAUGAUAAUUCAAAAUUUUCUUAAUAAAUUUUAACGAGUUA